rnacentral:rRNA from 1 species
GUGGGGAAUAUUGGACAAUGGGCGAAAGCCUGAUCCAGCCAUGCCGCGUGAGUGAUGAAGGCCUUAGGGUUGUAAAGCUCUUUCAGUAGGGAAGAUAAUGACGGUACCUACAGAAGAAGCCCCGGCUAACUUCGUGCCAGCAGCCGCGGUAAUACGAAGGGGGCUAGCGUUGUUCGGAUUUACUGGGCGUAAAGCGCACGUAGGCGGAUUGGUCAGUUAGAGGUGAAAUCCUGGAGCUCAACUCCAGAACUGCCUUUAAUACUGCCAGUCUAGAGUCCAGAAGAGGUGAGUGGAACUCCGAGUGUAGAGGUGGAAUUCGUAGAUAUUAGGAAGAACACCAGUGGCGAAGGCGGCUCACUGGUCUGGUACUGACGCUGAGGUGCGAAAGCGUGGGGAGCAAACAGGAUUAGAUACCCUAGUAGUCC